GCUACCUCCUGUGACCCUGCAGCACAUGACUGGGAGAGGUCACUGAGCUUUGGGAGCAGGGCUGCGAGCAGACAUGCAAACUCACACAAACAUCAGAGCAAAUAGGAAACAAACCCGAAAGUUUCUCUGUACAAACUACUUGAACCUUCAGAGCUUUAAUGAAACAUCUCAGUCAGAAUAAUGGCAGAGAAUUCUAAAGAUGUAGCAGUGCACUGAGAGGGAAAGACAGAGUGAACUCACCCACCAUAUUAUCCACAACAUUACCACAAGGUCAACAAGGUUCCUAAAGUGGUAUGGGCUCUGAGGAAAGGAUUCACGUUCUGGACAUGGAAUAAUGGAAGACCAACUAUGUGUGGAGUGUUCUAUUUCAUUCAUGCCCUGUGAUGACUCAUGUCAUAAUGGGGUAUUAGGAGGACUGUUCCUGCCUCUGAUGUAAAAUCUACAUAGCCUGGAGGUCUUUGCGUCUUAUAUAUAAAUAAAGACUGUCAUUCAUUCACACAUACAGACCACUUUCUUAUCUCUUUAGGUUUUUAUUAUGGCAUACAUGAAGAGGGCAAAUUCUGUGUUUUCGAUGGCAAAUACUAGCAUGUUGGCAUCAGCCUCUCCCUAACCAUUUACCACCUUUCUGUCAAUGGAGUUUCCUGGCUCAUCUGAUUUUAGCGAUUGAUUGCCCUGUAAAGCCCGCACUGAUACAAAGC
ensembl:lncRNA